AGACCCGACUUUGAAGUUUCCUUUCUUACUCCCUUUUGAGUUAACGCGGCCAAUGAGUUCUCACGGCAUGACGGCGAUGUGCAAAUAAAUGCUAGUGCAUAAAAGGAACGACUGUGUUCGUGAUUUCAACUGAGGGAGUAACAUUCUCUUUGUUUGACUCAAAUGAACUCUAGAAAACAACAUGUGGAGCUAGUGAGUCAUGUCUAUAUUUGGAACAUAAUGGGAAAAACAGCAACAUAAGAUAAUUAAAGAGCUGAAUAAUAAUAAUAUUA